rnacentral:rRNA from 1 species
AGUGGGAGCCCCACCACUAAGCCAGUGGUGAACUCCACAUCCGCAUCCUUUGCUGAGGAUACGGUUAACGGAGCGAAAGCGACGUUCAACCGCAAAACAAGCAGAGGGGGCUUAGUGGUGGGGUGACUGCGUACCUUUUGUAUAAUGGGUCAGCGACUUAUAUUCUGUAGCAAGGUUAACCGAAUAGGGGAGCCGGAGGGAAACCGAGUCUUAAUUGGGCGUUAAGUUGCAGGGUAUAGACCCGAAACCCGGUGAUCUAGCCAUGGGCAGGUUGAAGGUUGGGUAACACUAACUGGAGGACCGAACCGACUAAUGUUGAAAAAUUAGCGGAUGACCUGUGGCUGGGGGUGAAAGGCCAAUCAAACCGGGAGAUAGCUGGUUCUCCCCGAAAGCUAUUUAGGUAGCGCCUCGUGAAUUCAUCUCCGGGGGUAGAGCACUGUUUCGGCUAGGGGGCCAUCCCGGCUUACCAACCCGAUGCAAACUGCGAAUACCGGAGAAUGUUAUCACGGGAGACACACGGCGGGUGCUAACGUCCGUCGUGAAGAGGGAAACAACCCAGACCGCCAGCUAAGGUCCCAAAGUCAUGGUUAAGUGGGAAACGAUGUGGGAAGGCCCAGACAGCCAGGAUGUUGGCUUAGAAGCAGCCAUCAUUUAAAGAAAGCGUAAUAGCUCACUGGUCGAGUCGGCCUGCGCGGAAGAUGUAACGGGGCUAAACCAUGCACCGAAGCUGCGGCAGCGAACGUAUCACCCAAGACAACUUUACGGAGUUGACGAUUGACGGAGCGAAGCGACGUCAAAGCGUUCAUUAAAGUCGAGUUGGCUUAGGGAUACGUUCGUUGGGUAGGGGAGCGUUCUGUAAGCCUGUGAAGGUGUGUCGUGAGGCAUGCUGGAGGUAUCAGAAGUGCGAAUGCUGACAUAAGUAACGAUAAAGCGGGUGAAAAGCCCGCUCGCCGGAAGACCAAGGGUUCCUGUCCAACGUUAAUCGGGGCAGGGUGAGUCGACCCCUAAGGCGAGGCCGAAAGGCGUAGUCGAUGGGAAACGGGUUAAUAUUCCCGUACUUGGUGUUACUGCGAAGGGGGGACGGAGAAGGCUAUGUUGGCCGGGCGACGGUUGUCCCGGUUUAAGCGUGUAGGUGUGUGUUCCAGGUAAAUCCGGUUCACUUUAACACUGAGGCGUGACGACGAGGCACUACGGUGCUGAAGCAACAAAUGCCCUGCUUCCAGGAAAAGCCUCUAAGCAUCAGGUAACACGAAAUCGUACCCCAAACCGACACAGGUGGUCAGGUAGAGAAUACCAAGGCGCUUGAGAGAACUCGGGUGAAGGAACUAGGCAAAAUGGUGCCGUAACUUCGGGAGAAGGCACGCUGACACGUAGGUGAAGUGAUUUACUCAUGGAGCUGAAGUCAGUCGAAGAUACCAGCUGGCUGCAACUGUUUAUUAAAAACACAGCACUGUGCAAACACGAAAGUGGACGUAUACGGUGUGACGCCUGCCCGGUGCCGGAA